AUUUCUAGAGAAAUGUUAGGUACCCUGAGUGCUUUUUAUCCCUCGCCCAUUGACUCUGAUUUAGUUGAGUAUGACAAGAAUGACCCAGUUUGUACAGCCAACUUUCAGAUGACCUACAAUCAAGCAAGAUGUUUCACCAUUGAAUGAUUUCAUACGACUAUCUGGAUUUCUGGCUUCUCUUGAAAACUGAACAUCUGGUUUCACCUUCCCUCCUGGCUGGGAUUGUGGCUGCCAUCCCAUUUUAGAUGGGUCACCCUUUCUCCGGUUUUCAACAUUCCCCAUCACUGCGUAUAGCUGUACUGUUCAAUAAGGUCAUGGGUGAAAUUGAAAUUCCAGACCGCCCUUCUUCGUGGCAAACCUUUAGAAAUUAGAUUGUACUAGGUCUUCUUGGAUGCUGUUGAAACCUGCUUAGUCUGUGCAAAAGUCUAGCCCAGAAGUACUGAGUUAACAGCCCGGGAGGCGAUCAUCAAGAUAAAUGUGCCACUAUCCCUCCUUCAGACUGUAAACACCAUGUGAAUAGAGAUGACUUCUGUCUACUUCCAUGAGCUCUAGAGCAUCCACAAGCUCCUUACACAUGAGACGAUCAGAGCAUCAGUGGCAACUGAAUGAGACAUGCCAGUUUGGGCUCAGGCUCCAAGAGGACACAUCCAAGUACAUCUCCACGACCAGGAGGUUCAUGCGCUUGGUCCUCUGUGCGUUAAGGGAGCUUGGGCAUUUAUCCAUGACUUUGCACACCUGGUACCCAAGCUGUGAUUUCAGGAUUCUAGGUCUUCAUCUGGAGCAAAGCUGGAGUGUGACUCCAGGGGCCCAGGAAGGCCAAUCUUCAUCCUAAGCCUCUGUAAGAAUAGGGCCAACUUGAAGCUAGUAUGUGUAACUCCGUGCAUUUUCUCCAGAGACGCUGGAACCAUAGGCUUGGCCAAAAAAAGAUGGGAUGUACUAAUCAGUGAUUUAUAACAUGCUGUCAGAAGUCCAAAGCUGCCUGGAGGUGCCCUGUACCAACUUGCUACAUAGUUUAUUGGAAAAACAUAGAUGGAUGGUUGGCACCUGGUUUCAGUUAUUAUGCCUGGUUACUUAGACUGGUUUGGGCUAUGUGACCAGAGGGAAAUAAGAUGAACAUAUGCCUUGGCUUCCCUGAGGCCCAGUUCUUCCCCAUGCACUAGGGGGUUCACGAUGCAGAGGCCGAACCAGUCCCGUGCGACUGAGGGGGGCCUUAGCAACUGCUCGUGGAUGCUGUGGAUCUUCCUGAAGUUGCUCCGAGUUUUCUUACUCUUAUUGUUCUGUAUCCUUUGCCUGUAAUAAAACCAUUCAGGGCCAGGUGCGAUGGUUCACGCCUGUAAUCCCAGCACUUCGGGAGCCCAAAGCAGAAGGAUUGCUUCAGCCCAGGAGUUCAGAACCAGCCUGGGCAACAUGGCGAGACUCUGUCUCUCUUUGAAAUAUAAAAAAAAAAAAAUUGAAAAGAAAAACCUUUCAGACCUUUUACUUUGUUGGAGUCUUGUGAGUCCUUUUGAUGAUCUGACCCAGCAUGAUUGCUGCAACCUCUCUUGAUGCUCGGCUCUAGUUCCUGGCAGUUUCCUCUUGACAUCCAGACUGUAGAAUCUUCAGGGCUCAUGGGCUCUGGCCCCUGCUUCUUAAGGAGGAGAAGGUGGAGCCAUGGGGACCUAACCCACAUCUCAUGGAGGUGACGGCAGGGCAGUGGAGCCUCAGCCUGAAGAUGAAUUGCCUAUAAUCACUGAGCAAGUUAGACGGGAAGAAAAUAAAUAUGACUUAUAAACCCAUUACCCAGAGACAACAAUGGCCCGCAUUGUAAUACACCAUCUUUUAGCCUGUUUUCUCUACAUAUAUAUUUACAUAUAAUUGAGAUGUAUUGAACACACCAUUUGAUAUCCUACUCUUUACCUCAACUUUGCAUUAUAAGCAUUAGCUGACGAUUUUUAUAAAGACUCCAUUUCUUCAUUUGUAAAAUGAGAAUAAUAGUAAUAGUGAUGAUGAUGAUAAUACCAGUACCUAUAUUAUGGGUUAUUGUGGGGAUUAGAUGAGAAAAUGUGUGGAAAAGGUUUUAGCCCGCUGUGUGGAAUAUACUAAGAGCUUAGCAAAAAAUAUUAUAAUAUAAUACUUUAAAAUCAUAAAUGGUUGCAGAGUAGUCUAUUGAGCGAAUAUGUCGUUAUUCAUAUAACUAUUCCUUUAUUGAACUUACAGGUAAU
rnacentral:lncRNA from 1 species